rnacentral:rRNA from 1 species
AUGCCCAUCGAAAAUAACCUUAUGUAUGUAUGGGAAACACAAGUGCUGUGUAAUUUAUAUUAUUGGCAGCAAUCUUUUAUGCGGUGGAGAAAACAACUAACAGUGUUGCUGCAUGGAGACAGGCUAUUUGUGGUUUAUAUCCUUCAUUCAGUUGCUGCAAACCGAAGAUUCUGCAAAAAAAAAUGGCCGGUGUUUUUGCAAAAUUCAGUUGUAGCAGCUGUUAGCGUUAAGCGCGUUCUGCCGUUCUGGGUAUGUCAUCAUAAUGUGUCUGCUGUCGCUGUUCAGAGAAGAGCAGAGAUGACAGUGCAUCUAGAGUGUUUGUGA